rnacentral:tRNA from 2 species
GCCCAGAUAGCUCAGUCGGUAGAGCAGAGGACUGAAAAUCCUCGUGUCGCUGGUUCGAUUCCGGCUCUGGGCACUA